AUCUAGCUGCGACAUCUGUCACCCCAUUAAUCGCCAGGGUUGAUUCGGCUGAUCUGGCUUUAGCUUUAUAUGUGCUUUU
rnacentral:snRNA from 1 species